AUUGAACGCUGGCGGCAUGCCUUACACAUGCAAGUCGAACGGUAACAGGUCUUCGGAUGCUGACGAGUGGCGAACGGGUGAGUAAUACAUCGGAACGUGCCUAGUAGUGGGGGAUAACUACUCGAAAGAGUGGCUAAUACCGCAUGAGAUCUACGGAUGAAAGCAGGGGAUCGCAAGACCUUGUGCUACUAGAGCGGCCGAUGGCAGAUUAGGUAGUUGGUGGGAUAAAAGCUUACCAAGCCGACGAUCUGUAGCUGGUCUGAGAGGACGAUCAGCCACACUGGGACUGAGACACGGCCCAGACUCCUACGGGAGGCAGCAGUGGGGAAUUUUGGACAAUGGGCGCAAGCCUGAUCCAGCAAUGCCGCGUGCAGGAUGAAGGCCUUCGGGUUGUAAACUGCUUUUGUACGGAACGAAAAGCCCUGGGUUAAUACCCUGGGGUCAUGACGGUACCGUAAGAAUAAGCACCGGCUAACUACGUGCCAGCCGCCGCGGUAACAC
rnacentral:rRNA from 1 species